GGAAUAUUGGUCAAUGGGCGGGAGCCUGAACCAGCCAAGUCGCGUGAGGGAUGACGGCCCUAUGGGUUGUAAACCUCUUUUGCCGGGGAGCACAGGUCCGCACGUGUGCUGUUUGGAGAGUACCCGGAGAAAAAGCAUCGGCUAACUCCGUGCCAGCAGCCGCGGUAAUACGGAGGAAGCGAGCGUUAUCCGGAUUUAUUUGGUUUAAAGGGUGCGUAGGCGGACGCUUAAGUCAGCGGUAAAAUUGCGGGGCUCAACCUCGUCGAGCCGUUGAAACUGGGUGUCUUGAGUGGGCGAGAAGUACGCGGAAUGCGUGGUGUAGCGGUGAAAUGCAUAGAUAUCACGCAGAACUCCGAUUGCGAAGGCAGCGUACCGGCGCCCAACUGACGCUGAAGCACGAAGGCGUGAGUAUCGAA
rnacentral:rRNA from 1 species